GCAUUGGUGAAUAGUAAAGCGUGUGACAUCGUCGAUGAAGGAAGGAACAAGUGCUGUGCCGUGCCAUUAAAAUAAUAAUACAAAAACAAAAAUAAUAAAUAUUAUUAAAAACAGUAACUAAAUACAUAUAUAAAUAUAUAAAUAUGCUGAAAGUGAUAUCAGCCAGUAAAUUGCCAAUCGCGACUGGGUGUUAUGUGAACGGUGGGGGCAUUGCCGCUCGCACUUUCGCAACCGGUCAAGCGCUAAGAGAUCAACAUGACUGCCAAGUAUUGAUCGUCGGCGGUGGUUCCGGUGGUUGUGCCCUAGCGGCGAAGUUAUCUUCGAAAUUGGGAAAGAAAAAAGUGACCGUUGUGGAGCCAGCUGAGCGUCACUACUACCAACCGAUGUUUACACUGAUUGGAGGUGGCAUGAAACUAUUGGAGCAAUCGUAUAAACCGAUGGCGGAGGUGUUGCCGAAAAACGUCAACUGGAUCAAGUCGGCAGCUGUGGAGUUUGAUCCGAAAAAUAAUACGGUGAAAACGGCAAAUGGCACGAAAGUCAAAUAUGAUAUGCUGCUGGUGGCCACAGGUCUGCAGUUAAACUAUGAUAAGAUACCCGGCUUAGUUCAAGCGCUCUCAAUAAUAGACGGCAAAGUUUGCUCAAAUUACUCACCCAAAUAUGUGAAUCGCACCUAUGACUGCUUGCGAAACAUACGGGGUGGCAAUGCUAUUUUCACAUUCCCCGCUUCACCCGUUAAGUGUCCAGGGGCACCGCAGAAGAUUGUCUACAUUGCCGAGCACUACUUCCGCAAGUUGAAUAAGCGCAACAAAAUAACGGUUACAUAUAACACAGCGUUGCCAGUCAUUUUCGGCGUGAAACACUAUGCUGACGCAUUGUGGAAAGUUGUGGAGAAACGUGAUAUCAAAGUCAAUUUGAAACGAAACUUAAUUGAGGUGCGUGCAAUGGAAGAUAUCGCCGUGUUCCAAGACCUCGACAAACCGGACCAGAUUUUCGAAGAGAAAUAUGAUCUGCUGCAUGUCACGCCACCGAUGAGCACACCAACUGCCUUGGCGCAAUGCAAGGAAUUGGUGAACGAGACCGGUUUUGUGGAUGUGGACAAAUCGACGCUGCAACAUCUGCGAUAUAAAAAUGUUUUUGCAAUCGGUGACUGCUCGGCAUCGCCCAACUCAAAGACUGCCGCCUCAGCAGCCGCCCAAUCGCCUGUCGUGUAUCACAAUAUGAUUGCUGCCUUGAAUGGGAAAGAAUUGAAACGCACCUAUGAUGGCUACGCUUCGUGUCCGCUGGUCACCGGCUAUCGCAGUUGCAUUUUAGCUGAAUUCGAUUACGAUCUGAAGCCAUUGGAGACAUUCCCGUUCGCACAGAAUAAAGAACGCUACACAAUGUUCUUCUUAAAGAAGGCCUUAAUGCCCACGCUCUAUUGGAAAGUCAUGCUGAAUGGCUACUGGAACGGUCCAGCGCUGAUGCGUAAUGCUCUGUCUGUAUUUAAAUUCGGCAAAAAGUGAAAAUGUGAAGUUACAGGAUAAAUAUAUACAAGUAUAUAAUGGCUUAUAAAUGUAUUUGUGAGGAGAUAACUGCAAUAAAUGCAACGGAAAAAGUCAGCGCUGCAGUUUAAACAAGUUAAAGCGGUCCAAGUCACUGUAGCAGUCUCUGGAAGUAACAAAGUGAGGAAACUCUACAAGUCUCGACAUUUCCCGAAAUUUCAUUUGUAAGGAGACGAUUGCGCUCGCUUUUUAGUGUACUUUCAUAAUUUUUUUAAAUAAAAUUGCCAAAACCUUCUUCUUACAUUACAAA